rnacentral:rRNA from 1 species
UACAGAGGUCUCAAGCGUUGUUCGGAUUCAUUGGGCGUAAAGGGUGCGUAGGUGGCGCCGUAAGUCAGGUGUGAAAUUUCGGAGCUUAACUCCGAAACUGCAUUUGAUACUGCGGUGCUUGAGGACUGGAGAGGAGACUGGAAUUUACGGUGUAGCAGUGAAAUGCGUAGAGAUCGAUAAGGAAGACCAGUGGCGAAGGCGGGUCUCGUGGACAGUUCCUGACACUGAGGCACGAAGGCCAGGGGAGCAAACGGG